GCCCGGGUGGUGGAAUUGGUAGACACAAGGGACUUAAAAUCCCUCGCCCUAAACAGGCGUGCCGGUUCGAUUCCGGCCCCGGGUA
rnacentral:tRNA from 1 species